rnacentral:rRNA from 1 species
GGAUAACCUACCCUUAGGACUGGGAUAACCCUGGGAAACUGGGGCUAAUACCGGAUAGGCAAUUUUUCCUGGAAUGGUUUUUUGUUUAAAUGUUUUUUCGCCUAAGGAUGGGUCUGCGGCCGAUUAGGUAGUUGGUUAGGUAAUGGCUUACCAAGCCGUUGAUCGGUACGGGUUGUGAGAGCAAGAGCCCGGAGAUGGAACCUGAGACAAGGUUCCAGGCCCUACGGGGUGCAGCAGGCGCGAAACCUCCGCAAUGUGAGAAAUCGCGACGGGAGGAUCCCAAGUGCCAUUCUUAACGGGAUGGCUUUUCAUUAGUGUAAAGAGCUUUUGGAAUAAGAGCUGGGCAAGACCGGUGCCAGCCGCCGCGGUAACACCGGCAGCUCUAGUGGUAACAAUUUUUAUUGGGCCUAAAGCGUCCGUAGCCGGUUUAAUAAGUCUCUGGUGAAAUCCUG